CUUUUCCAAUUUUUAAGCAAGCGAGCGCCAGUAACUUUGUAAGCAUAUUUUUUUAAUGUAAGCCUUUUGUUUUGUCCGUGUUGUUUUGUAUAUUAGUUGUUGUGUUUUCUGUGUAUUUUAUGCCUUUAUAGAUAUCAUGCUUAUUUUAUUUUAUUUUUAUACAUUUUUAGAUAGGUAUUGACUUCGAUAAACGAUUCCCAGGGAAGUCCUACUGGCUAAUGACUUUAUGGGAUAAAACCAUUGAAAAACUAACUGCUUCUUUCGAUGAAAAUCUUAAAAAUCCAUAUUAUAUCAGCUUAUUUUCCGAAGUAAGGGAUGAUGUCAAAAAUUGCGCUUACUUUAAGUUGCUGGACUGCGUAUUAAAACCGACUAUGAGCUGCAAACAAUCAAACUCACAAGUUCAUGUGCCUUCGAUUCAAGAUUCGAUUAAUAGUAGCGUUGUUUAAAUAAGCUCUAUUAACAAUCUGCAGGAGGAGCAGGAACGGAAAAUGCGAAAGUCUGAGAUAGACAACAUUCCAAUACAACCCUAUAUGGUGGUGGUUGAUGAAAACAAUGGCGAAGAUCAAGAGUUUUUUGUUUUCUAUGGUAGUUAUCGACUCAAGUUUCAUUCCUUUGUAGGGGCUUUAGAUACCCUAUUUAAAAUUUUUCAUGUUUUUAAUUUAAA